CGUACCCUUCACUACGGAAUAGUCCCGGGAAACUGGGUUUAAUACCGUAUACGCCCUUCGGGGGAAAGAAUUUCGGUGAGGGAUCGGCCCGCGUUAGAUUAGUUAGUUGGUGGGGUAAUGGCCUACCAAGACUACGAUCUAUAGCUGGUUUGAGAGGAUGAUCAGCAACACUGGGACUGAGACACGGCCCAGACUCCUACGGGAGGCAGCAGUGGGGAAUCUUAGACAAUGGGGGCAACCCUGAUCUAGCGAUGCCGCGUGAGUGAUGAAGGCCUUAGGGUCGUAAAGCUCUUUCGCCUGUGAUGAUAAUGACAGUAGCAGGUAAAGAAACCCCGGCUAACUCCGUGCCAGCAGCCGCGGUAAUACGGAGGGGGUUAGCGUUGUUCGGAAUUACUGGGCGUAAAGCGCACGUAGGCGGAUUAGUCAGUCAGAGGUGAAAUCCCAGGGCUCAACCCUGGAACUGCCUUUGAUACUGCUAGUCUUGAGUUCGAGAGAGGUAAGUGGAAUUCCGAGUGUAGAGGUGAAAUUCGUAGAUAUUCGGAGGAACACCAGUGGCGAAGGCGGCUUACUGGCUCGAUACUGACGCUGAGGUGCGAAAGUGUGGGGAGCAAACAGGAUUAGAUACCCUGGUAGUCCACACCGUAAACGAUGAAUGCCAGUCGUCGGGUAGCAUGCUAUUC
rnacentral:rRNA from 1 species